GACUAGGUGGCAUAGUGGUUUGAGUACUGAACUAUGACUCUAGAGAACAGAGUUCAAUUCCUGACUAGGCC